CCUACGGGUGGCUGCAGUGAGGAAUAUUGGUCAAUGGACGUAAGCCUGAACCAGCCAAGUCGCGUGAAGGAUGACUGAUCUAUGGUUCGUAAACCUCUUUUAUAUGGGAAUAAAGUGCUCGACGUGUCCGGUUUUGUAUGUACCUUAUGAAUAAGGAUCGGCUAACUCCGUGCCAGCAGCCGCGGUAAUACGGAGGAUCCGAGCGUUAUCCGGAUUUAUUGGGUUUAAAGGGUGCGUAGGUGGCUUGUUAAGUCAGCUGUGAAAGUUUGUGGCUCAACCGUAGAAUUGCAGUUGAAACUGGCAGUCUUGAGUAUAGUAGAGGCAGGCGGAAUGCGUGGUGUAGCGGUGAAAUGCAUAGAUAUCACGAAGAACUCCGAUUGCGAAGGCAGCUCACUGG
rnacentral:rRNA from 1 species